ensembl:processed_transcript C430049B03Rik RIKEN cDNA C430049B03 gene
UGGCUGCUCCCGCUCGCCUCUUGGGGUGCGCUCGGCUCCAGCCCAACUCCGCCAGCUCCGCCGGCUCCAGCACCGCUCCAACCCGAUUCCAGCCGGAUUCCAGCCCGAUUCCAGCCCGGUUCCAGCCCGAUUCCAGCCCGGUUCCAGCCCAGCUCCGUCCCGGCUCCGGUUCUUCUCCGCCACGCCUCUCUGUCGACGCUGAGGAGCAGCUUCGCAGGAAAAUCCCAGAAACCUUUGCAAAAAGCUUACAAUGAAAUUUAAGAAGUUCUACGAUUUCGGCGCCAUUUUCGAGUGGAGUGAGAGUAUUGGAAAAGUUUGGCUGGAAGGUGCGGAGGACCUGUGCAUCAUGUUUUGGGUGUGGGGGCGCAUGGCAUCUGCAACAUUAAAAGACAAAACGUUCUCAACUGGGAAGAGAGGAAGAGGCUUAGUCUUUGGCUCUUAAAUCAUUUGGCCAAACCCUUCGCAGUUCUGAAGUGGGUGGGGCCAUGGUAACCCUAAAGUAUUGAUUCUUUGUCUAUUGUAUCAGCGAAUGACCCUCUCUAGAAGUGACCAGACAUCUCUUUGUGCUCUCUUUUCGUAAGUAAAGUUAAGCCCAAGGGGAAAUACACAAACCCAGGGAGUGAGAUGGCUUUUUAAGGAUAUAAGUCGUUGUAGAGUGAUGG